rnacentral:rRNA from 1 species
AGGACGAACGCUGGCGGCGUGCCUAACACAUGCAAGUGGAGCGACGAACCAGGCUUCGGCCUGGGGCAAAGCCGCGAACGGGUGAGUAACACGUGGGUAACCUGCCCUGAUGAUUGGGACAACCCGAGGAAACUCGGGCUAAUACCAAAUGUGACCUCCGGCCAUAAGGCCGCUGGGGAAAGGAAGCUUCGGCCUCCGCAUCGGGAUGGGCCCGCGGCCCAUUAGCUUGUUGGUGGGGUAACGGCCUACCAAGGCGACGACGGGUAGCCGGCCUGAGAGGGGCGACCGGGCCAACGACUGGGACUGGAGACACGGCCCAGACUCCUACGGGAGGCAGCAGUGGGGAAUAUUGCACAAUGGGCGAAAGCCUGAUGCAGCGACGCCGCGUGAGGGAUGACGGCCUUCGGGUUGUAAACCUCUUCGGCUCCGACGAAGCGAAAGUGACGGUAGGAGCAGAGAAGCACCGGCAACUACGUGCCAGCAGCCGC